rnacentral:ncRNA from 14 species
CAAGGUGUAGCGCAAUCUGGUAGCGCGUCUGCCUUGGGCGCAGAAAGUUACAGGUUCAAAUCCUGUCACCUUGA